GGGGGGAUGCCGGAUCCUGGGCUGUGUCCCGGCGCCCUGUGCUCCUGGGCCUGCGCUGUUGGAUUUGCGCUCCUGGCCCCACAACCCCUU
rnacentral:pre_miRNA from 1 species